rnacentral:lncRNA from 1 species
UCAUAUACAGAGCUUAAACACUGCUUAAAAGUUAUUACAAACUCAUGAUGGUUUUGCUAAUAACAACAGAAAACUUCAGGCCCUGUUUACUUGUGGAGAAAUUUUCCAGUUUUCCGGAAAACUAGCUCUAAGGAAAACAAAAAAUAGAAAACUUGUUUACUUGCCCUGUUUUCUCUAAGUUAGAAAACAGUUUUCCAAUUUUCUUAAAUUUUCUGUUUUCUGUUUUGAGCUUUAAAGUGGGAAAACACUGAUUUAGAGUUUUCUAUUCGGAAAACAUCGGGUCGCGAGCGAAACGUAAAAAAAUUAAACCGAUCACUUCUUCUUCCUCUUCUCUCUCUCUGCUCUCUCAAUUUCCCCUCUCUUCUAAAGUUGUUUGACAGAUCUAGACUCAUCUCAAUCUUUUAGCAAGGUGAGAUUUCAAUCAAUAUUCUUUAAUCUCUUAUUUUUUUUCUUUAAUAUUAGAUAGAAAGAUUUCUCUAGGGGGUAUUUGGGUUUGAUUAAUCUCUUUGCUUAUGCAUGUUGAUAAUAGCUUGUUGUGUUUUUUUUGUUUUUUUUUUUUCAAUUUGAAUAUAAAUUUUAAUAUUUUGUCUAUAAUUAUGUUUUGUAGAUUUUAUAUGGUAUUUAUUUUUGACAAAUUAUGUAGCUUUGAUGAAAAUUAUGACUCUUAAGGGAUUUUUUUAUAAAAUUUGUGAGUAUGUAUGCUCCAAGAUCUGGCGGUUUUAGACUUUCAAUAGUUUAGCUCAGUUAGAAUUGAAGAAGUAAUUUUUAUGUAGCUUAAGCUAUAAUGCUUUUUUUCCAUUUGAUAUGAAAUUUCUAUUGUUUUCCUUUUGGUAUUGGUUUCUGCUUACCUUUAAGCUAUAAAAGGUCUUGUUGUUUCGACUGCACUUUGAAAUAUGAAUUAUGUAAAAACUACUGAAAGGACAAGAGAAAAUAAAUUUAAUUUGUAAUGUCCAGUUGACUAGGCUAGCACUGGUUAUAAAAAUACCGUGCUCUCACUAAUGUCGAUAUCAUGAACAACACUCUUGUGAGUUCUAAGUUCAUGCUAAUGGUUGCAGCAACCUUGGAUUGCAUGAUAGGAUUUUUGCAAAUUUAAACUAAAUGGAAUAGUAUCAGUUGUCAAGCUUCUAGCUAGCCUUAGAAUAUUUAAAUGGUAUUUCUUGUGUUUGUAGGUUGUGGUUCAUGGGUUAGCGGAAAGUCAUUAUCUGUUGUGUAUUCCACACACACACAAUGUACCAAUGUGUUAACUAUGUACAUGAUCAUUGUAUAGCAGCACUUUGCAUCUACAUGGGAGAUUAUGACAUUUGGGUAUAUUGAGGCUAAUCAAAUUCCUAAAGCUGUCGAGUCUAUAAAAGCAGCAUUUUUGGCAAGACCAGGGUGGGAUGCCACGUCGUGAAACUCUAGCUGUUUACUUUACUUAAAACAGCAAGAAGAUGUUGCAGAGGUAGAGGAGUUCGUGAGAUUACUUGGGGCUGCACGUCAUAUGCCAACAGAUGAUUGUGGUAAGCUGCUUGAUUAUUUUUAUAACAAUGAAGGAGAAGCUAGCAAAGUAAACAAGCUUAAUGCAAAUGGUUUGAAUGAUGGUGUAGAAAUAGCUUAAAUUCAAUGGAAGCUACAUAAUGCUCAACAUAAUGGCGAAUUUUCAUGAAUGUACAGUUUGGAUAUUUUAUAUUUCUCUUUCCAUCCUCCUUCCCUUUGUCGUCUCAGAGGAGCAGAUGUAUGAGUUUCAGUCAUAAAAUUUAGUACGGCUGUUAAAUCCUCUCCUAAACUUGUUUGGCAAUUCAUCAACAAAAUAUAUAUGUACAUUGAGUUUCAUUUAUAUUUUGAUAACAUUCUUACCGCAAUUUUUUCCCAGACUUCAUACCUGCUCAUGGCUGGCCACGAUGAAGUUGGCAGGGCAAGUGAGCAACUACACUUAAUGACAAGGAAGAAACUCACCUCAUAGAGGAACUCAUCCGUGAAUACCCGUCCGUUAAUUUCCUCAAGGUGGGUUAAAGCUUGUUAAUGAAUCAUUUAGAUGAAGGCCAUCUUUGGUACUCUUUCAGACCAGAAUAACACAUGCAAUGUUGAUUGUAACACAUUUUAUAACUGAUCUGAUGGGACAUAUUUAAUAUAUUUUACAGGAGGAUGUUGACGACAACCCAACGCAGAAGAGUCAGAGGAGGUGCACUUACUGCCAAUCUUCGGGUUAUACAAGAAUGGAUCAAGGAUAAAAGACAUUCCAGGAACUAACCUUGUAUGCAGCAUAUGAUAGAAAGUCCUAAUGUCAACAUACAACAAAGAAGAGUCACUUGAUAAGUCAUGUUUCUACUAAUGUGGACCACCACAGAAAUGGCUUCAAGUUUUUGCAUAAAAUUUCCAUAUGUUUUUAUUAUAUUUCAUGAAAUUAAAAUUUUUUAAGCCGAUGCUAGCAAUGUGUUCGAAACUAGGAUUGAUAAAUGUUGUGAUCAUAGUGGUACUGGUGGAUCUUAGUUUUUUUUUUUUUUUUUUUUUUUUUUGUUGGACAAAAGUGCUAUUUAUUUCACAAGGUAAAAGUACUGAUGGAUCUUAGUUGUACUUGGUAAGGUUCGUCCUUGUUUUUGUAACAUGGAAAGAUAAUAAAAAUGAAGUGCACAAGAAGAGCAACAUUGUAUGUGCUAAUAUAAGAAUUAUGAUAUGUUUAAACUUUUUACGGAUCUUAGCCAAAUUCUUUUGUUGUAGCGUUUAGCUCAUUUUUAAUGUUAAAUGUACAUAAUAAGAAAAAAAUCAGUGAAGAAUUCAACUUGAUUUAAUUUCUUUACGGAAGUAUGUUUGUUCAUGUUCGGAUUGCUUAAGAAAUAGGCAACAAAAAAGUGUUCCAGUCAAUUUGAACUUAAUUAAGAAUUUGAGAUCAGUUUUCAGUUUUUCAGUUUUCUUGCAAGUGAACGCGUUUUCUGUAUUCUCUAAAAUUUUCUAAAGAAAAAGAAAACUAGAAAUGGAAAAGAAAAUUGGAAGUGAAAAACUGAAAAUAAUUUUCCACAAGUAAACAGGCCCUUAGACACUUAAAUACGUGUACAUCUUUGCAUCUUAUAUUAAAAACAAUUUUAACUACAUAUUAUUUUAUUUUAUAUUUUUUUAAUUAAAAUAAAUUUUAUUAAUAAAGAUUUAAGAAAUUAUACAAAGUUUGAAGACAAGUACGUUAUAAACUACAUUACAAACUCUUUUUAAAUAGAAAAAUCAAUCUUACAAAAUAUAUAUUCAUUGGAACCUACUGUCAUCACAUUGUUAUUCAUCACUUUUUAUACUUUUCUAAAAUAUUCAACUAUUUGUAAUGCUAAAAAUUCAAAAGUGUCAAAACAAAAGAAAUAAAACAAUACUGGUUUCGUUACACAUACUCUCUCGUGUUUAUGUAUCUUAACUACAACUGCGUGAAUGAUUGCUUAACCCACUUAAAUAAUUUUUAAUAUUAUUAUUUUUUUUUUAUUGCUUUUAGUUGUAUCAUCAGUCAUCACUAGUACACUAAUUAUAGAAUCUGAUAGAUUACGACUUGAUUCUUCUACAGUACCGAAAGUACCGUUGCAACCUGACUACCUGUACCUGACUCUCUUUCUCAUGCGUCUUUACCUUUCUGAGUAAGAAAACGUUCUCGGGGAGCACAAUAGCGAAUCUCUGACUGACUCUCUUCAGAAACAGACUAGAAAGCUGGUAAAUAUCUGAUGAUCUGACAGGAAUAAUAACAGCAGCAGCAGAAACAUUGAAAAGCGUGUUUCAUUCCAAUUUCCAAAGCACCUGAAUGACAUCACCUUGAUGUCACACAUUGUGGUUGUUGAUUCCAAUGUUGCAUGUGGUUGUGGUUGUGGUGUAGAUUCAUUUCAUGACACCUCUUCAAUCCUUCACCACCACCACCACCACCACCACUCGCCGCCGGAAUCUUCCAUUCAACACCACCACAGAUUUCUUUCUCUUCUUCUUUUACAAUUCUUCUUGAUUAAUGAAUGCAACUCGAAUGCUGUGACGAGAAACAUGAAAAACUUCCCGGUCGACUAAUAGUAACUUGAGUAAGAACUAAUCUACCAUUUUCUCUAACUUGUUUAAGAAAAGAAGUAGAAUUCUGACCAUCAUUCCUUCUUAAAGAAGAUAAAGAGGUGGAAACAUUUGAUUAACUCCAUCUUUAGUCUUUCUACAAUCAAUUGAUGUUGAUGUUGUAUUAUUGUUUGCAUUCAUUCUCAAUUUCAAAGAUCUUGAUGAAGACUCAUGAAUCAUUUCUUCCAUUUGUUCUGAACUUUCAAAUCCUAAACUCUCUGUACAUGAACUCAAUCCAUAGUUAAUUGAUCCACCAUUAUUACCAGUACCAGUAGUAAUUUCAUCUAAUGAUCCUGAUCCACCAGAUCCACUGCACCUGGAAUCUUGUUUCGUUGCAGAAGUGAUGGUGGUAGAAAUUGAAGAUGGUUUAAGACUAGCAGAUUCUAAGACGUUUGCCGGUGGUUUGUGAGAAGAGUUUUCGGUAAUAGUGAUUAAACCAGCUAUCGAAGGAGGAGAACGAGUAUCAGAGUGGUGUUUAGAAGGAGUUGGAGAGAAGCCAAGAAAAGUGUGGAGAGUAUUUUUACAGAAACUCAUCAUUGUUUUGUGUUAAUUUUUCAGUUAGUUUGAAGAGGGAAAUGGACGUAAAGGGUAAAAGUAUUUAUAGUUGUGAGUUGUGAGAAAGGGGAAAACGAAUGAGGAGAAAGAAUCAAGUGAAGUGAGAGGAUUGAGUUGAAUAAUAUCCUCAAGACGAAGAUAAAUGAGGAUCAAGGAUUAUUGGAAUACUCAUUGCGUGGAAAGUAGCAAUGUCACAAGUUUUAGUGUGUAGAAGUAUUGUGUUGUACAUUAUUAGCUGGAUUGAUAGGACUUAGGAAGUUAGGAUAGUUAUAACUUAUAAAUAAUGCAGAUAAAACCAUACAAAACCUCACAAAUUAACAUUACUCAUGCAAUUAUUUUAAGAAUAACGAGCAUAUGUAGGCACAUGAAGUGAGUGCGUGAGACCAAUAGUUAAAAAUGUCGACAUAUUUUGUGAAAUUUUGACAAAAUAUAUCGGUUUUUAAAGAAUUGGUAUUUUAAAAUUCAAAAAUAAUCAAAAGUAUUUUUAAUAUUUUAGAUGAUUUUUUUGUUUCAGUGUCGAAAUAUCAGAUAUACCGUUUUAUCAAAUUCAAAUUUCAAAAUUUCGCCAGAUUCGGAAUUUUAAAUUAUGAGUGAGACUAUGAGAGGUGGAUUUGGAUUUUAAAUUAUGAGUGAGACUACGAGAGGUGGAUUUGGUGGUAAGAAUAAGAUUGCCCAAUCUAUAUAUUUAGCAAGAAAAGAGUUUUCAGUUAGGAGUGUGGGUGAAAACUGAAAACCCUUUUAGUGAAAGUUGUAUGGCUGAUGGCAUGUGAGGAGACUUUAUAUAAAUUGUGCAACAGAGCAGAGUAGGAGGAUUUCCUUCCCACUCUCACUCGAUACCACUAGUCUACUAAUCACUACGUGUGUCCUUAUCAUGGGCCUACCCCCACGCCCCCACCUGUUGUUAAUUUGUUAUGAAUUGGGGCCGAUUUAGAGUAAAAGGGGAUAUUCCCGCAUGAUCCUAAGAAAGUACACUCAAGUUACCAUUUUGAAUCUUUUGACAAUGCGAAGCGAAACUGCCACUGGAUUUUUACACCAUAAAAGGUAAACUGUUCUCGUGUUGCUGUUAUUUGUGCACAUCAUAUCAAUAUCAUGGGACAAUAAUCAACUUGUCUGUAAUAUCAUAGCCAACUGCCAAAGGUGAAACUACUGUAAUAUGAAUGAAAUCCACGACACGUAUUCUCAACUUGCCAAGCCAAGUCAUGUACUCUCAUGUUCUUCUGGCCUUCUCUGUUACUCUCAUAGUUGAAUAUGUAGUGGCAAUCCCAUAGGCCAUAGUAGACUUUCUUAUCCAAGCCUAUAAAACUAUAUAUCCGUGAAGGAGAAGCAGCAGCAUGAGAAGGCUAUGACUGUCCCACAAGGUAGAAGUUUUAUGAGGUUUGCAGGGCUUCCUAAGGUCUUAUCGACAAUGAUGGAAGUGGGUAUGGUGGUUAAUACCUGGGCUGAUGGUGUUUGGUGUACCUAAUUCCUCGGCCGGGGAGAUUGAAAUUGAAGAAGACUCAGGGUGAGGUCUGAUGGUCCGAUGGAUUUUGCUAUCUGUAUUUGUUCAGACCCAUUUGAGUUGUAACUUUAUAGUAUUGAAUAAAAAAAUUGUUAAUUCUGAGCUCUCAAGAAACACGUCCAACUUUUUUGGGUCUAUGUAAACAGCAAGAUAAGUAAAGGCAAUGACCUUGCUAUAACCCCAUACAAAAAUGGGCACUACAGUUUUUUUUUCUUGCAAAAUACCAAAAGUCAAAAUAAAUUGGAGUUAAAAAAUAAAUUCAAUUUGAAUUGAUUUUCUAAAAUUACUUACAGUACAAAUGUGCAGUUCUCCCACUUAAAAGACACACUCAAGUUUGGGCUGUCUAGAGAGUUAAGGGGAUAUGAAAUGUGCCACCAUUGUAUGAUCAGACACUGAGGGAUUGAAGGUGUGAGCUCAGACAUGUUGUCCACUUGUACUUCCAGCUUUAUUUCACAAUAUCACCUGGGGUUAUAAUUUUUGACAAAGUUCACACUGUGAUCUUCCAAAAUCCAAAACGGCGACUCGCCAUUGCUAAGAAAAAAUUACCGCAAAACUUUCUAUUUGAGUUUUGUUGUUAUUACUCUGAUUUACAAUACUACAACAGAUGAAUUAAUUGCAAAGAUAAUUGCUUACUCAGCUUGGAGAUGCAGCUUCUCCUUUGCUUUUCUGUAGGCAACAUGGCAUAGGGAGAUCCCAAGAUCACUGACCAAAGAGCUUCUUGUACCACCAAAGCUGCAGAGGCUCAAUUGAAUGGUCGGAUCAUAUAUGUAAGCCUUUAAGGCAGAACCUCCUAUAAGAAAUUUCUCUGUAUGUUUCCUCCGGAGAAUCGGGAAGUUAGCCCUUUGACCAUGUUAUCUGCAUCAAGAUUGACAUUCUGUCGUCCCGCAGUCAAAUCCUUCUCACGAUCCCAAGGCUUCCAGGGGUGUUGCCCUGCCCAUUCUUCUUUCUUUUUCUCUUGUUUGGACUUCUUUUUCGGACGUUUAGUUAAGUCUUCUUGGUGCUUCUCCACCAAUGAUUUAGAACGUUUGGUACGAUUGUAUUGAUCCACCAAAUCCGCAUCUGAGUUGGUUCUUUUCUUUUCCUCAUUGGAAGCAAGUGCUGCAGCUUCAUUGUAAGCCUCUAAAUAACUGCAACAGAAAGCAUAUUAAGUAAUUCACAUAGGCCAAUAAAACAAGUACACGAAAAAGAACAAUUUUGACAAAGGUGUAAUACUCACUUCAUUUUUGCUUUCUGAGUUUUGUCUUCUGGAGUGUCUGUCCAAGCACUUGUAUCACCUCGACCUUCUUUAGUGGUCCGACUAAAAGCUGUAGUGGAAUGCAUCGACACACCACCUGCCUGUAAUAACGAAUGAAGAAGAUUAAUUGCCACAAGAAAUAUUGUGGGUCUAAUUAAAAUAUCUAAUGCCCUGAGAAAAUGAAUGAAAACAUAUGCAAGCAGGAUGGCUAUUAUAUAGAACUAAUUGAGAUUCACCGUAUGGUGUAUGUCGUACAUACUUUUCUUUCCGGAGGAAGAGUAGUCAUCCACUCCUCUCUUUUUUGUGGCAAUUUCGUUUCAGCUAAAAGCUCAUCAUCACCUUCCAUAGAAAUACCUGCAAUUUUUAAAAAAAGUCGGAAUAUCAAGAAGAGAAUUUCUAGUGAUACCUGUUCAUCACUUCAUCAAUCACAAUCAUAAAGGCAGGAAAAAAGCUAAAACUCAAACAGACCCGAAAUACAAAAGAUAUGAUGAACGCUGCAUAGAACUAAAGCAUUGGCCAAUAGAAAAAAUAAUGGAUUUGAUUGACAAAACAAGUAGCCAAUAGCCACCAUUAUAGAUAACAAAAUGUCAAAAUGGUGACAUAUCAAUGCAAUGAGCAUAGCUGGCCAAUGUGAUCGGGCUGAUCAGUCAAAUCCAUUUCAAUCACUCAAGACAGAAUCCAUCAGGAACAUCCAUCUUGACCUAUCCAUUUGUUACAAAAACUAACACAGAAAAUUUGUUACCCCAAGGUACGUUUUAUUCAAGGAUUGCGUGGACAUCCUUUUUAGUUUUUACAUGUGUAUGUCCUAUUUUCCACAUAUAAUCUAUAUUGUUUCAAGGAAUUAUUAAAUCUUUGCACUCUCAAAAGUUUAGUUCCAUUAUUGAUCCCUUCUGGCCAGCAAGAAGUUAUAUGUUAUCUUCAUUUAGCAAUCAUCACUCAACCCUUUGCAAACAUCUAUAAUUACAAUCAGAGCAAAAGAAUGUGGACAAAGUGAUGACCUUGGUGCAGCAUAACUGAUAGUAGUAAGAAAGCGUCAAGUGUCGUAUUUUUUGAGCCAGUUUGGUUUUCAUCUAACUGAUGAUACCAUUUUUCACGUGGCAAAGGUGAUUUCUUCUAUAACAUAGAGUUCAAGUUUUUAAACUAGUUCAAUUUUGUCACCUAUUCAUUUUCCUACCCUAUCCUCUAACCUAACCACAACUAGUAAGCCCUCUACAAAGAGAAUAAAUUGAAUCCCACUAAAAUACCGUAUCAAAUGUAGCCAGCAUGCUGUAAAUGUUACAAUAAAAAAAUAUUGAAGGUUGAAACAGAACAAGCUAGUGCACCUUGCAAUCUUCUCCAUUGUGCGGCUUCUCGCAUUUGUUUCAACUCAGCCUAGAGCAUCAAAGAAAAUGUGAGUCAAAUUAACUAAAAACGAAAGAACACAAGUAUACACUCUGGCAGAAAGCAUCCGAUAAUACAGUCACUGCAGACCUCAUUCCCAUCACUUACUUUCUUUCUUAUUUUAUUUCACUUUAUUCUUAUUCCAUUUUGAAUAUAAGUCAAAUCAUAUACAUCACAAAGCACCUUAAAUUUCUCAUUUGCGAGAAAAGACAUUGAAUCAGUCUCACUUUCCCCUGAACUAUUCACUGUUCCACUUUACUAAUGUAAAUAUCCCUUGACAAGUAUUCAGCACAAUAAUAAUAACAAUUUCUCCGAAAAGAAAUUCCGUGAUCAAGUGAAAAAACCCAGAGGAACUAAAGAUACCAAGUUAGUAUAUAAAGAAGAAUAAAGAGGCAUUCUGUGUGAAGACUGAAGAGCAAUAUACCUUGAAUGCCUCUUGCUCCUCCUUGAGUUGAAUUUUAUCAUCCAUUGCUUUUCGCUGAAAAGGUUUACAGGAAAUAAGGAGCACAGCAUAAUUGUUAACAUCUCAUUGGAAUAAAAAAUGAAUCAAGAUGAUAAGAAGUAUCAUACUAAUGACAUGCUUAUAUUCAAAAGAUAAAUUGUUUUUAUUUCCUAUUCUUAUUCCAAAAUGUAGAGAGUUUCAUAUAGAGUUUUAUUUCCUAUUCAUAUUCCAGUAUCAUACUAAAUUACUAAUGACAUGUCUUUUAUAUACAAACUAAGAAUCCUGGAUGGUGAAGAUGGGGCCACUUAUGCUACCACUCUAACAAUAUAAGCUUAAGGUAGAGCUUUUCCAAACUCACACUCCUCUCAUACAGAUAUGUAUUCCCACCUACACAAUACACUCAAAUAUUCAAUAUCACAAGUUCGCCAUUCUGAGCAACUAUAUAUAUAUAUAUAUAUAUUAUCCACAUUCUUCAACAAGUUUCAUGAACUAUUUAUGGAGAGGGAAAAUACAAACAUGGCAAAGAAAGGGUAUACAUAUUUAACUCAGAAAAUGACGAGAUUCAUUGGCCAUGGCUUCAAUGGUUAUCACACUAUUGUGCAGUUCAUCGAUAAAUUUGUAUGAGAACGCUAAAACUGAUAUCAGGUAGAUAACCCUAAUAACACAAUUUUAUCAAUAUUCUCUACAACAAAUUAACAAUCAGCUCACAUACUCCAUAAAAACAGCUCUGACUAGGGCUACACAAAAAGCACAACAAUCUACUAGUUGGACUCGACUUCAGUCUCAAGCAAUUAAAAAUACAAAUAAAAAGUUAAAAAUAAUCACCUUAUCAGGAUCUUGUAAUUCUUUAAAAGCUUUGUUCAAUAUGACAAAUGCUUGAUGGGCCUGCGGAUGAGAGCAUUUAUCUGGAUGCACCAUAAGGGACAGCUUCCAAUACCUGGACAGACAGUAUGAAAAGAGCAUCAAUGAGAAGAUUUAAUAAAAAGUAAUAAUCAGUAUUAUUAAUAGGCUUAGCCGGUUAGAACAUGCAAUAAUCAGUGACACCUAAACAACACUAAUAAAAAAGUAAAAAAAAAAAAAAAUUGUCAUUUCAAUCAUCAUGAUCAAUUGACUUUUACAGGUUUUUUGCAACUUUACCUUUUCUUGAUGUUAUCAGCAGGCAUGUUUCUAUUUACCCCAAGCACAUCAUAUGGACUUCCAAUCUCAGCUUCCAUAAUUUUUGUCACCUAAUUAAAUAAAUAAAAAACAGAAAUUACUAUGAAAGAAACUGCCAGUGUCAAUGCACGCACCAAGAAUAUUGAAAAUUGGAAAAAUGGGUAAAGGAGGUGUUGUUUCCAUACUAUUACUUUGGCAUGCUAUCUCAGUUAGGUACAUUGAUGUUCGUCACUCAGCACAUAAAUAUGAUUUAACAGUUAACAUAACUUUCAUGCUACAAUUGCAAUGCUUUUAGGUGAUCACAAAACAUAUAUUUGCACGUAAUAGCAACAGUUGAUCCUUGCCAUAUUAUCAUGUUAAUAAUGUUUUUGGGUGAGCACAAAAUGUAAUCUGCAUAUCGCAGCAAUAGUGAUCCUUGCUGACAAUACUCACUAUGAGAACUACACUGCUUGUUGACCAAUAAACAUGAGAAAAAGUUGCAUACUUUCUAAAGUUUUGUUGACAGUGCACACAAGACAGAUUUCAAUACCUCUUCAAAACGCUCAGCCUCAUUCGCUGAUGCAGCUUCAGCAGCCACAGCAGGUGGUGGAGGACCAAUAAAUAAGUCAUCAUCCAUCUCAAACUCAGCUUGCCUACAGUUGCAUGACAGGAGAAAAGUUCACCAAAAAACUUAAAAUAAAUCACAAUAAUCACAUCCAAAUUAAAAAUUUCCUAUUAAAAAGAUGCUUUGUGUACACGAAACUAUAGUAAUCCUGUCUUUGGAACAAGUGUGCCUAUGUCCUUAAUCAGUACGAGUUGAGCACAGGGCAAAUAAAAAAUCUCAAAAGUAAGUACCUUAGCUCAGCCUCAGCUUCAGUUAGUUUUGCUGCUGCAGCUAGUAACUCAGACGAGGGCAUUUCAGGACCAAUCACCCUGCAGAAACCAUCAUACAUGUAUUGCAACCUCAAACAACUAACAGGGAUAAUAGAGAACUACAUUAAUAACUGGGUAAAAAAUGUGAUUUACACACCUUCUUCUUGGAGCAGAAUCAUCUUUAACACAAUGACUUCCAUCAUUCUCAUUUAUUGUUUGUUUACGUUCUUCAUUCGAUGGUAUAGACUGUGCAUGGCUUGGUGAAUCAGAAUGAGAAAGUUUUUGUUCUCUAGGCCUUUCAUACAAGGAUAUCAUGGGUCCAAUAACUUCCAAAGUAGGACGAACUUCUGGGGGCAAUAAAUAUAUUCCAACGUCGCUUUCUUUAAGGUUCAAUGACAGGAAGAGCUUUCUCAGUUGUUUAACAAAAGAUCUAUCAGAUAUUCCCCUCGUGUCAACAGCUUGUCCAUCAUCAAUCAUUUGCAGUAGCUUCAGGACGAAUUAAAACAAUUUUGGAAAAACUUUUCAGAAAUUGCUAGAAUACAAGUACAUGCAUUAUGUACAUACGAUCAGCGAGAUAAAAUAUAUAACAAUGACACAUGCUCGAGGCUGUAGUGAAAACACUACUAAAUCGGAUUUACCGAUUUAUAGUACAACAUAAAAGUAUCAGCGAGAUGAACGAACAUGUGAAUUAGUGACAGAGUUGUAAUAUAUACCUGCUUCAAAUCAAGUACUACAUCAGGAAACCUUUUCAAAAUGCUGCUAAAAAUGGCUUCUGGAUUGUUGUCAGAUCUUGCAAUCUCAGGUUUCUCAUCGUCAGACAAACUAGAAUCACCUUCAUCAAUGUCCCUCUUUUUCCUACGUGAUCUAUGUCUAUCUUCCUUCGAUUUCCUUUUCUCUUUCCUCUUAUCACGUCUUUCAUGCUUUUCUUUCUUCUCACUUCUAGAACUUUUACUGCUCUUUUUAUAUUUAUCAUCCCUCGAUCUCCGUCUUCUUGAUUUCCUCUCCAAACUUGUUUCACUAUCUGAACUAGAAUACAAAGACGAUGAACUAUCAUCCGUCUCCGUCAAAUACUUCUUCUUACUACUUCUCUUUUUACUACCCAUCUUUUAACUACCUACAAAUUAUAACAAAACAAUAAUACCCAAAUUAAAACCCUAACAUCGAAAUUCGAAAAUCAAUUAAAAAAAACCCACUAAAAUUCAAAAUUACUUCAAAAUCUAUUUCAUUUCUGAAUAAAAUCUAAUCAUUUCAGCUCAGAAUUCAGUCAAAAAUAAAAAGAAAAAUUCAAAAAAAAAUAAAAAUAAAAAACAAAUCAAAUUGCUUUCAAACAAGUCAUUACUGAUUCAGAUUACAAUAACAAUAACAACAACACGAUGUAAUUGAUUCAAUUAGGGUUCUGAAAGAAGAAAACUAAUUAUCAAAAUUUAAAAUUUACCUCGAAACUUCGUUUCUCUUUCGCAAAUCGUGAAGCUUUUGCCAAAAAACAUUUACUACGAACAAAAGGGCGGAAAAUCUUUUGGUUGUAGAUUAGCCCAAGCCUAAAAAGGCCCUACAUUUAAGCCCAAUUAAUACUGGGCCUCCACUUACAGUAACGGUACUGACUGUACAGUACUUACUGGCUAGUGCAAGUUAUUUGAUUUUCCUUGCUAUCUGCCUCCUUUUUCAAAUUACUGCAUAUGUACUGGCUAAUGGCUAUCGAUUAUCGAACAGUGUCGCAGGAGUUUCAUUUUUUUUUUUUAAAGUUAUGAAAAGGAUAGGUUUAAUAGUAUUCUUAUAUUUGACUGGUUAAAACCGAUAUAAACCAAAUUUAAAUGAUUGACAUGCCUGUUCAGCACAUUUAUAUCAUGUUAAAAUAGCAUCCAUUGUUAGGUUUAGUGGCUGGUGACGACGUGACGAGGUUUUAUGAUCUAUCAGAACACAUUACCUCUAUUUAAAUUGUUAUUUUACAGUAAUGUCAUUUUCAGGGAUUUGGACUGAAUACCUCAACUUUCUAAAGAUACAAAUAAUAUGCAGGAAUAUAAUAGCUUAAGUAGAUAAAUAAAACUCUAAUCUGGAUUAGUAUAAUAUAUCAAGUUGGUUACGAAAUGUAAAUCAAUGGUUUUUUUUCUUUCUGGUAAUGACUUUCUUUUCUUGAGCAUGGACUGUUCUGUAGAUACAAUAAUGAUAAGAAUCAAUAAUUGUUAUUACAAUUGUAUGCCAAUAUUCAUACAGUAUUCUUUAUUACAAGCAUUUCAAGAAUAAAUUUAACAACACACAAAACUACAAUAUAGCAUUACAUCAAUGCUUUUCUAAGUAGGAAUUUACAAAUGCAAACCAUUCUAUUACUGUUCUGACGCCUGUCUUGGAGGGAAACCUAUGCCAUUGCGCUUGUUUGGGAACAGAACAAAAGCACUGCUAGCAAUAGCCCCAACAACUGGAGGCAACGCCAUAAUCAGUUGUUUUUGCGAUGAUUCAAAAGACGGAUAGAAACACUCUACUGUGUUACGAUCCAAGAGUGCAAGUAGUAUGAACACAAUUACUGACAGAAAAGCAUGAACAAAGUCCCCUAGACUACGCUUAUAUGCAGAUAAGUUCACUGCACUUGAGUCUGAAUCUGUUAAAGGAUAAAGUCCUUUCCUGGUCACAAUACCAUAUUGAACCUUUCCAUUUUUAUCAAUAUAACUGUCUGUGAACCAAGAAAAACAAGAUGCAAAGACACAAAGUGAAAGGAAAAUGGCAGUCAGGUACUUGUUGCCAGUGCGACAUUCUCCAUUGUUGGUGAAAGCGGGAUUGAGAGCUAUGAAAAGGAAGAAAGUCCCACUAGGGAGAAGCUUAACAAGGUUCCCUAAACCUUGGACUGUCGUCUGUGACACUUGCUGAGAUCUGGUUUCAGUCCCUUGUACUGAAGUAGGCGUAACGCCUGGAGCAAUUUGGGCCAUGGUGCUUUGGCUUUUAAUAUUGUGCUACGGUUGUAACGUUUGUGUCUGAGGAUCAUGUUAGACAUUUUGGGGGUAUUUAUAGAGAGCCAUUAAGUGAUAUAACGUGCUGUCAGUUCUGAUUUGAUAGGAGUUUGUUGAAUGACCAAGCUAGCAAGUUCUUGCAGAUUGCUUCUCAUAGAAGUCAGUUCUGGAAUAGUACCUUGACGAAGUAUAACAUGUAAUGGUCUCCUCGAAUGUGGGCUGUUGGAUGGUUCUUUAGCGUGUGCAGUUUGAAAUCCUGAUGUGCGUAAAUCACUUGGUUCUGGGCAUAUGUAAAAAGGCUCACUGAAAAUCUUGAUGAGGGUUAUCUAAUAAUAGAAGCCUUGUAUAUUCAAAUGCAUAAAAGAUUAAGAAGUCAAUCAUUUGAACAAAGCAGAAAAACAAUUAUAGUUGCAAAUUCCAAGCCAGAUAAAUAGCUUGAAGUAUUAUUUUUCAUUGAAUACACAGUCACAGUGUUCUUGAUUAAUAGAAAAUGUGGUAUUUAUUUGACCAGCAUCCAUUAUUAAUUGCCUAAUCUUAUUGUCAAAACGCCUCUGGUUGAUUGCUAGGAAGCUUAUUUAUUUUUAUUUUUUUGUUGAACUAGACCAGCCUAAACUUACUUUGAGUUUAGGAUUUGUGCUCAAAGGGUCAACAUUUUAGGACAUUGUUAGCAUAAACUCCACGAUACAUGGGUGAUAUAAUAUUCAAUGAGCCUACAAGUGGAUUAACCUUUGAGCCACUUGCUGACUCAGUUGUGCGUUAUCCAUUAUCAGAUUCAAAGAUGUAUCCAAAGGAGUAAGGUAAUUAGGUUUUAGAUACGACUGAAAUCCUGUGAUCUGUGUUUUUUCCAGAUACUCGAGGUUUUCGACUUUUCAUGAUUAAAAUGUUCAAAAAACAGCCACAAUUAGCUUAUAUAUAUAUAUUCUCUGCAAUUAGUGUGUACACACGAUUGAGUUGUACAUGUUUUGUACAAAAUAAGAGCCUCAAUUCUAACACGCUAAGUAGUUAACCAUUAGUAUUGUAUUAAUUCGCAUACAGUGGAUGCAAUAUAAAACAUCUUGAAGUGUUUUUGACAAUGUUGGACUUGCUCAAGAACUGCCUUGCAAGGCAACAAUGUUUUGUUAGAUACUCGAAGCUGCUUAAUUAUAAAACAAUUGGUUUGACUUCCAUCAUUAGUGGUUCUUCAAAUGCAAAGGUUUUUCUAGCUCUCUUACGGAAUUUGAUAACCCGCGAACCUACUACAUAUAAAUAUAUAAUCAUUAUAAUCUUAAGAACCAAAAACUAGAAUUGACAUGAUCAUUGCUUAUCGAUCAUCAUAUCCUUUGAUUUCUUUUAAGCAUUUUGAAUAACAAAGUUUCAAGUUUCAACCCCUAAACCCUAACUAAAUUGAUUAACUACUACAACCCUAUCAAAUCACAACACAAAAUGCAGUAAUUUCAUGCUGGUUAAACAAGAAAAACAAGAUCAAGAACUCAAACAUACCUUUUUUAUUAGAUGGUUUAACCAACUUUUAAAUACCUAAUUUCAUGCUGGUGAAAGAGAAGCUAAAGGCAUGGCUCAUGACUUCAUGAGAGUUGAGACUGUGUAACUGUUUUCUGGGAAACCGAUAUAACUACCCUACUUUGGGGGGGCCAUACUGGCCCACUACUAAAUUCAAUCCAUGCGGCCCAAGAUUGAUUGCAGCCCAAAACUACAUGUGAUGAUGUGAUGUGAAGAUUCAAAAUAUUUUGGUACACUGAGACUUUGUGAUUUGUGAAGAAUCAAUAAAAUUUAAUAAAUGAAUCAAAUAGGGAAAUCACAGUAUAUUUUACAUUCAUGCUCAAGUAUGAUUAAUCUACAGAAAUCUAUGUGAACUAUGUCUCCUGUGAAGCCUGCUCCUUUGGAGGGAACCCUAUUCCAUGGCGAUUGUUAGGGAACAGAACAAAAGCACUACUCGCGACAGCCCCAAUGACUGGAGGUAACGCCAUGAUUAAUUGUUUCUGUGUUGAUUCAAAAGAUGGAUAGAAACAUUCUACAGUGUUUCGAUCCAAGAGUACAACUAUUGCAAGCACAAUGAUCGACAGGAAAGCAUGAACAAAGUCCCCUAGACGAAGCUUAUAUACUGAUAAGUUCACAGAACUUGUAUCUGAAUCUGAUAAAGGAUAAAGUCCCUUCUUGGUUACUAUACCAUAUUGAACUUUUCCAUUUUUAUCAAUGUAACUGUCUGUGAACCAAGAAAAACAGGACCAAAAGCCGCAAAGUCCAAUGAAAAUACUAGUAAGGUAUUUGUUGCUGGUGCGACAUUCGCCAUUGUUGGUUAAUGCAGGAUUAAGGAAUACAAAAAGGAAGAAAGUCCCACUAGGGAGAAGCUUAAUGAGGUUCCCUAAGCCUGUGACAGUCUUUUCUGUUACUUGACCACUGGUUUUAUUUCCUUGUAACGAAGUGGGCUUAAUGUCUGGAGCAAUUUGUGCCAUCGGUAGCUAGCUAAGCUUUUGAUUUUGAGUGCUAGGUGUAUAUGAGUUUUGAGCUUUUUAGAACAAGUUACAAAUUUUCUGGAAUUUAUAGAGAGAUUCGUGGAGAAGAUAUAAACAUUACUAGCUAUUUAGUCUUGAAUGAGUGGAAUGUUAUUCAGUAUAUGGCCAAACUUGUUGGUUCUUGGCGAUUUCUUCUCUCAUGCAAGUCAGAUACUGACUUUGGACCUUGACUGUUCACCUAUCACCUAUUGGAAAACUUUGACUUAUCAAUUUGUCGUCUUCAAAUGUGGACCGUUCGAUGGCAUUAUGGCGUGUGCAGUAUGAAAAUCUGAAGUAUCAUAACCAAUUAUAAAGACCUUGGAACUGAAUUGAAAGGGACCUAUACUGUAUGAUGAAGAUGCAUACAAAAUAUUACAAGUGGGAAGAAAAUGAAAACACGUAAGACAGAGAAGACCUUUUCAACCUAUUCCAAGUCAGAUGGAGAGUUCCGAAUUUUUCUUUUUUCGUUUACAGAUGCACAGUGAUGGUGGCUAGCUAAGUCAUGAAGAAUAUGUUGUUUAGCGCGUGUGACCAUAUUUAAGGACUUAAUUCUUCAAUUUAUUCCUAUUCAGAUGGAAAUUCAAAAUGAUAAUAGUUCAUAUUAUUAAGUUUUAAUUAAACAAGAUGAUUAGGUUGAUAGGAACAAAAAUUUUAGGUGCAAUGAUAUUCUCUUCUAAGUAAUCAUGUACUGUGUUAAUAAGUACUUAUUGUUAAGAAGUAAGACCAAGAUGCAUGAUUAGCUUUCGUAACCAACGUUUAUCAUCACACUUUUUUUUCCUGACAGAUGUUUAUCAUCACACUUGUAAAAUAUCAUUCUGUCUUUCUGGAGAUGGAAAAGGACAUCCAACGACCGUGUUGUAUAGAAUAAUAUAAUCCAUUUAGUUUUACAUACAAAAUACAUUUAGUGCUGCAAUAGUCUCAAUUUAUUGACUUAGCAUUGCAGUGCAAGUUGGAUGCAUAAUCCAGUUUUAAUAUUAAACUGCAAGUUGCAUGCAAAAUGAAUUUUAGAAUUGCAAAUGGACUGCACGUCAAGUUAUUGGAUGUAAAUGUCAUUUCCUAAGACAAGUUAAUUUUCUCUGCAAAAUGUGUUUGCAAAUAUAAAACUGAAGAUAAAAAGAGCAUUUGUAAUACCUCAGGGCGAUGAUGCCAGAGGUCAGGGGUUUGAUCUUGGGCAUUGCAUCUUUGAGUUACUGUUCUUGUUAAAAACAGGCUUGCCAAUAAAAAAUAAAAAUAAAAACAACAACAACGAGUAAUUAUGAGCUCCUCAUGAGAGUGCAAAAGGUAAUGGAUAGCAACGUGAUGACUGCUUGUUCAAACGAAUAUGUAUUUAGAAGAGUCGGGUUUGCUAUUUAGAAAGGACUUGCAGCGCAUUUUGUAACGCGCUUGUCCUCUACUUUUGUGUAAUUAUUGUAUAUAUUGUCUUUGGGUAAAGUCGUGCUAAUUUUCAAUUUAAAAUCUUAAUUGUGAUUUAAAUUUUAAUUAUUAUGCUGGAUCAUAUCCCUGAAUAAGGACAGGUAGUACAAAUUCUUGGUCACAAUCCCUUAUUGAAUUUAUCCACUUUUAUUAACAGAACAUAGUCUGUACUGUGCAGAAUUACAAACCUAGCCUGCAGGGUAAAUGCACCAUGCAGAUGGUAUGUUAUCCACAUGCCCAAGCCAAUAUCCUAUAGGAAGAAGAAUCACCACAUCUAUAAGUGUAUGUACUAUAGUAUACACACCAAAUUAAGAUCUCAUUACAAGGUUUUACAAAUCUAUUAACAUUCCAACAAUAGCCUAUGAAGCCUGACACUAAUGAUUCAACAUCAUCAUAUAUCACCCUCUAGAGUCUAGAACGAUAUCCAGAAAUUCGUCUAGAACGAUAUCCAGAAAUUCUUCUGGAAUAUCCAUCAAUUACGAGGAAAAUACGAUGUCAUAUAAUCUUCUAAUACAUUUGACGAUAAAUCAAUCAAUAUAUUAAUACUCAUACAGUACAAUACAUCAAACAAGUAAAAUCACAUCACACAGUAGAUAACACCUUACACGGCACUGGCAGCAGUGGGACUAGAUUCUUCCUUGGUUAGUAGGGGUGUUUUGAUAGAAUCAUUAGAAUAAGAUGCCUGCGACGGUGUGCUUGGAGGGUACCCUAUUCCAUGGCGGUUGUUGGGGAACAUAACAAAGGCACUGCUAGCAAUGGCUCCAAUGACUGGAGGUAAGGCCAUAAUCAACGUUUUUUGUGUUGAUCCAAAAGAUGGAUAGAAACACCUUACCGCGUUAGAAUCCAAGAGUGCAACUAUAGCAAAGACAAACACCGAUAGAAGAGCAUGAACGAAGUCCCCUAGUCGAAGUUUAUAUGUGGACAAGUUCACAGAACUUGAGUCUGGAUCUGAUAAAGGAUAUAGACCAUUCUUGGUCACAAUCCCAUAUUGAAUUUUUCCCUUUCUAUCAGUAUAACUGUCUGUGAACCACGAAAAACAAGACGCAAAAGCGCAAAGUCCAAGGAAAACUCCGGUAAUAUACUUGUUACUGUUUUGACAUUCACCAUUGUUGGUUAUGAUGGGAUUAAAGAAUUGGAACAAGAAGAAAGUCCCGCUGGGGAGAAGCUUGACAAGGUUUCCUAGACCUGUAAAAGUACUUUGCGUGACUUGCUGAGUGGUUGAAGUAGACUUAACGUCUGAAGCGAUUUCGGCCAUGAAGCUGGCUUGGUUCUUGAUAUAGUACUGGGUGUAUAGGCUUCUGGUUCUUAGGAGUUAAGAUGAUCUUGUUAUGUACAUACGUCUUUGGUCUGCCUUUUAUAGAGAAUCCUAAGAAAGAGAACUGCAAGCUCUUAAUACUUGAAUGAUUGGAAUUUCGCAUUGAACUAGUAGGUUGGUGAUGACGGAGUCAUUGUAUUCUGAGUGCACACCAUUGGAAGGUUCAUUGGCAUGUAUCCUAUGAAAGUCAGAGGAUUAUCUAAUGACCGAAGGCGGCCUUAAGAUAGAGUCGAAAUACAACCCCUUCCAAAUUUAAAAUGCAUAAUUGCAUAAACUGAACAUAAAAUUUUAUAAUGGAAGAAAAUUAGAAGAAGGAAGAUGUAAGACUUUUUCAAUCUUUUGUCGAAAGGCAAACACACAACAGUUCAAGUUAAGUAUGAUCUUCAUGUCAGAUGAAAGUACAUAUUGUUAAGACCGUACGUACGACACUUUUGAAUGAGCUAAACUUUUAAGACACUGUUCAGACAAAAAUUCACUACUUAAAACAUUGAUCUAAGAAAGAUCACCAAUAUCAAAUAACUUUUUCAGGUUCUAUGCAUGGUUUGUAGUUAGCUUUAAUCUGGUAUACAAACACUUGUCAUAUUUUAUCUAAAUUGUUGUAGUGUUGGGUCAACAUAGUACCAUUGUGAGUUCAAGAGCAUUACUUAUUAAGGGUGUCAAUGCAUAAUACUGUCAAACUAGUUCUUAAUAGAUCGAAUGCGAUAAUGUAUAACAUCACAUAUUAAAACAUUUGAUCAACGUGCAACAAUUGAAUUCCCGGAAUAAUGGAAGUGGGUCAAUUAUACACCACAAUUUCUUAUUAAUCAAGAACUCUGUGAGAGUACUGUGUGUUUAUUGAAAAAUGAUCAAUUGGAAUUAUCUAUCUGACCUGUAAUAUGCUUUUGCUUUCCACAAAUAUAAUUGAAAAUUUCUGUUUUGUCUUUCGAAAUAUAUUUUUUCUCUCCCACUUGAGGCUUUUUCAAUUCUUUUAUGCAUGACUAUCCUCUCCAAGCCAGUUGUUCCGCCAUUAUAUUGGAUACUAGUCAGCAAAUAUUUCAAAUCCCACGCGCUGAAAAACCAUCUGACGGUCACAUCCAUUAACAUUAGCAUAAGCCGUCAAGGUCCCAUUCCAGGACUGACUUGUAUGACAGGAAAAAAACAGCAUGAGUCUACUAGUUUGGUCAUUCAACGAGAACUAACUCUAAUCAAUUCAAACUUAAGACUUAAGAGCGUGUUAUUGCUCAUUACUGGUCUAUAAAUACCUGAAAAUUUGGUGACAUGGUCAUCGCAACCUCACACUGAUAAACAUAGCAAGCAAACAAACAAAAUCCCACAUAGCAACUCAUGGCUCAAAUUGCUCCAGAUGUUAAGAUUGCUUCAGUAGAAGGGUCGACAACCACUCAACAAGUAACACAAAAGACAGUCACAGGCUUAGGAAAUCUUGUUAAGCUUCUCCCUAGUGGGACUUUUUUCCUUUUUGUAUUUCUCAAUCCUGCAUUAACCAACAAUGGUGAAUGUCGCACCAGUAACAAGUACCUUACUGCUAUUUUCCUUGCACUUUGCGGAUUUGCAUCUUGCUUUUCUUGGUUCACAGACAGUUAUAUUGAUAAAAAUGGAAAAGUUCAAUAUGGUAUUGUGACCAAGAAGGGGCUUUAUCCCUUAUCAGAUUCAGACACAAGUUCGGUGAACUUAUCAACCUAUAAGCUUUGUCUAGGGGACUUUGCUCAUGCAUUUCUGUCACUUAUUGUGUUCGCAAUAGUUGCACUCUUAGAUCCUAACACCAUGGAUUGCUUCUAUCCAUCAUUUGAAUCAACACAGAAACAAUUGAUUAUGGCACUACCUCCUGUUGUUGCUGCUGUCGCUAGUAGUGCAUUUAUUAUGUUCCCUAAUAAGCGCCAUGGACUAGGGUUCCCUCCACGAGAGGCAUCAGAGAAGUCAUAGAAUGGUUCAGUCCUACAUGAAGAGCAUGUAUGCAAUAUGUUGUAACUCCCCCUAUUGUGGUUUGUUGUAAUAAUAUUCUGUUUCUUGCUAUAAAAAUGAUUGAUUCUUGACAUGGUUUUUGUAUAUUCUAUUAUUCUAUAAAAAUAUUGAUUCUUGACAUGGUAGUUGUAUUUGUAUAUUGUAUUAUUCUGUGAGUUCUUUCUUUAAAGUAUCAUAAACAAUCCUAGUCUUUAACCUUAUAGCAUUAAAAAAAGUAAGAUGGAAAACACGUAAGGUUUGUAUUGUUUCAUAUGCAAUCGAAUUGGGCCAUAUCGACUAAGCAAUAGAACUCCAGGUUUAAUAAGGAAUACAUUAUAUAUGCUCUGACACCAACUAUACCGAAGCCUUUACCGCUUUGCGCCUAGGGGGAAAUUCCACACCAUUGAUGCCUGCACACAGUGGCUAAGGCGGGCGGGAAGAUGUUUCGCUGUUUGUGCAGUGGUUUAUCUCAUACCUCAUAUUAUGGUGAGAGAAUAUGCAAUAGGAAGGCAACAUUAAUUCUUUAAAAUAAUUUUCAAAUUGAAAAGCAUCCAUUUUCUGGUUCCAGCCCUCUCUAGAUUUAUAUAACUGAAUUCUAAACUCUAAACCGGCCAGUAGAAGUGUAGAAGCUUGUUAAGAGACAUGACUUCUCGUCCAGCUCAUUUCAUAUUGGCAUAUAUAAGUCUGUCAAUAUGAAUGUGCUUAACCAGAAGUCAUGUUUCCUCUAUAUCAGCAAUCCUUAUCACAACUUCACAACUGGAUAUUAAUUAAGAUACCGUUUGGUUUUAAACAAAUUAAAAGAAAAACAUUUCUAACAAGAAAUCAGAAGUAUUAACAUUAAACAACUAAUGUAGAUAGAUACAAUAAUAUGUAUAGUAUGCAUUUAACACCUACGCGUACGGGGUACAAAGGCGUGUCCAUUUUGGAUUUUGGUUAUUUUUCAUUUUAUAAAGUCAACUGUCAUUUUUCUUUUAAUAUAAAAAUGUAUUAUCAGUAUUAUAGAUUCCAUAAUGUCAGGUAUACCUCUUGAUUUCACUAGAACCUUCACAGUUCCAGACGUAGUCUGCAAUAUGAAUGCACCAUGCAAAUGGUCCAUUAUAUUAUCGCAUACCUAACCUGCUAUCCUAUGAGAAUUUGAAUUAACACCUCCAGUGUAAAUUUGUACCCAACAGAUCAAAUUGCACAAAACAGGAUUUACAGAAGAAAGAAGCAAUUUUCUUAGCAUUCCAAGUGAGAACCCAAUAUAUGUGCAAUAUAACAAUAGUAAAGCAAACAAUAAAACAAUAAACAAAUAAAGAACACACGAUAUUUUUAACGUAGUAAAACCCAAUAUGGGAAACGUCCACGGUUGUCCUCGCGACAACAAAUAAAUCCACUAGAUGAAAAGAGAUGUACAAACCUAUCAACUACCUGCAAUCACUGCGAGUUGACACUACUGGUUAUCUCUAACACCUUGACUUCACCGGAGCACCUUAAUGUACGCACAAGACACUCGACUUCUUGAUGAACACACAAGGAUACUCGACUUCUUGAUGAACACACAAGAAGACUCGAAGCUAAAUCAAUAUAAACAAUAAUGAAGAAGAAGAUGAAUGGGGAAGAAGGAAGAAGAAGAUGAAUGGGGAAGAAGAAGAUGAGUUCAAUCACCAAAGCAACCUAAACCAAAACCUAAACAAACUCCAAGACUAGAGAUGAAUUGGACGGCCAAAGAACUAACUUGUUCUUUGGAAGAGAAACCCCAUUUAUACUUAGGGUUGGAGAACACAAGAAUUGGGCCGAAAUAGGACGAAAUCCAUAUUGGACGUACGUACGUCGAAACGACGUUCGUACGUCUCCACACAAUAAACGCUUGCUGACUGCUUGGACGUACGUACGCCCUAACUCAGUACGUACGCUCAACACGAUGGAAAGUUUGCUGACAUGAGGGACGUACGUACGUCCUAACUAGGUACGUACGUCCUGAACCAAAAACACACUUUUGACACACUAGACGCGAAGACAAAGAGUCGGGAUGACGCGCGUACAACAAGGUUUUCCUAACAAUGAACUCAAGGCGAAAUAACCAUAGACAACCAAUGUCACAAAAUUGAUGUCAAACAACUUAGUGCCGGUUUCAAUCUCCCCCUUUGACAUUGAUUUUGUGACAAAAACCUAUGACUCUAAUAGCACUUAUAAAACGUGCUUACAAAACCCAAACCAUGGCAUUUAUAAAACAUGCCUACAAAAACACUCAUAGGAAAUACAUACCAAAUCACCAACCCUUGAUAACCAUCUUGAGCAAGACACUUUAAUCAUCAGAGACCAAACGAAAGCAACAAGAAAUUCUGAAACAAUCAAAGAGCCAACGGAAGUUCCUCGAACAACUCCCCCAUACUUCAUGAGCUCCAAGGUUUAAUACUCGAGCUUACCCAAAACUGUACAUGCACUUUGUGAUCAUCAUCACUUUCACUCCCCCAUACAUGUUCACUCCCCCAUACAUGUAGUAUACCUGAAACAUGACCUAAAAAUACACUAACAAAGAAGAAGAAGGUGUUAGUAUUAGAGUCAUAAAUCUCCCCCUUUUUGUCACAAAUGAUGCAAAGGGGUGACAUAAAUCAAAACGAGAAUAAAGCAAAAUGAACCAAAGAACAGAAGAAGAGAGGAAAGAGAAAACCAUACCAUAGAUCUGGAAUCCAUGACACGCAAAACUAAAAGACAUGAGAGAGAUCUAGGCAUAUAAAUGAAGAAGAAAGAGUACCAACACAUACACAAGAAGGGAGAAUAGAUAAGAACCAAAACGAGAUAAGAAGGAGAUAGUGAAAAGACACUGAAUACUUAUAUAGGUAACAGAGGGAAGAAAAGAAAACAUAACAGGAAUCCCUGAUAGAAACCAAGAGAAUCCUAUACAUAGAAGAAAGAGUCAGGACCCAUCAAUCGGAACAAAUGAUUCACUAGAAUAUCACUUUAAUCAACCAACCACAGUCACCUGAGAUAGACUCCAGAGAAACGACUUCAUAGUAGGAAGAUAUCUAGAGAAAAAGAGCAAACAAACAAAAAGGACGAAAUACCAUACCCGAUGAAAUCGGCAACGUACACUAAUGACCAAGAACCAAAUAGUCAAACCUGUGAGAAAUGUGCAAGAAAAGAAUAUGCAAAAAGAGAAAGAAGAAGAGAUAAACAAUAGUUAGUAGGAGACAUGAAAGAGAAUAGGGAAACCAUGCAUACUAGACACAUCCAACAAUAUCCCAUGACAAAACUACAGGAAUAUGAGUAUCUGCAGGAUGAAAUAUGUAAAGUAUAAGAAAAUCCAUUGAGAAUCCAUUGGGAAAUCCAAUCUGUACAUGCUCCUGAAACAACUCAUCCAACCACAAAAAAAAAUUAGAGAAUCUCAUAAACAAAGAGAAGAAAAUAUUAUCCCAAACACAAUGGAAUAGAGACAUAAAAGGAAUAAACCUGUAAGCCCACCCCUAGUGAAACCCAAAAAUUAGUUCAACAUAUGCCAAACAAGAUAAGCAAUCAUCAAACUCAUAAAAAAAUACUUUAACUGAAGAAUGAGCAAGGAUUAUCGAUGUCACCAAGUCACAAAACAACAAUCCAACUUCAGAGCAAAUUUCCUGCCAGAACAUUAAGACUGCGAUGACAUGCCAUACAUUGUCAGAAAGAUUAGAGAGUCAAUAGAAGAGAAUUGCUAACAAUAGAUGACCAAACUGAGCAUAUGCAUCCCAAAGUAGAACAGUGGUAGCCCAAAACCAUUGCAGGAGGAUUAUUGCAGAAGACUACCAAGAACACAUCUAAUCAAACCUAUUGCAGGAAAAAAUAGGAUCAACCAGGCACAAGAAGCAACAAUAAGAGGAUAGGCAACUCUCAUAAGUAUUUAAUCACACACCAGCUAGCCAACAAGGUAAUUCAAGAAUAUUAUCCCAACAUAGAAAAGUAUGAUGAGAACCUAUGAGAAAACAUGAAGCAAUAUAAAUCAUGACAAACGAAUACACCAAUAAUAUGAUUUCAUCACCAAAAUAUGCUUAUGCAUACCUUGUAGCUUUCUUAAAACAAAUUGAGAACUAUUACCUUGAGAAAUCACAUCAAACACAUGUGAUCCAAUGACAAAAAUAGAAAGCAUGAAGGUUAAAACCAAAUCAUACUAACAAUAUGACCUUAGUAUGUCAAUGAAACACCGACUGGAAAGAAUUACCAAGGAUUGGAGCCAAAAUAGAGUAAGCCAUAAACACUUUCAGCAAGAACAUCUACCUGUAAAGUUACUGAGAGAAAAAUAAAGUUGACGACACGCACAGUGUCCAUGAACCUGCAUACAGUAGAAAAGAGCAGUCUAAGGGGUGGUAGCAACAACCAAUGCUAGAACAACAAGCAUACAAGAAUCCGAAGGAAUGACGCCUCUACUCCUUUGAGCACGAGGAGGACGUGUGCCCGAGGACGAAGCACCCUUGGAACCGGGUGUUUCUUUGGUGGGAGUAGUCCGAGCUCGCUUAGGAGGCAUGUCCUGCAUACCCAGAACAGGAACCAAUCGAAGAAUGUUAGAAAACACUCUAAGUAACAACCAAAACAGGUGAGAAUUUUCAUUUAGGCAUUUGAGCAAACACUUGGUGUGCAAUAGAGAACUAACCUUAACAAUAGAAAAACAAACCGAAUAACUAACAACACAAAUAUUGAGAGACAUCACAUGAAAAAAUUUCUAAGUAUUGUAAGGAUUCCGAUUAAAGCACGAAUACAAUUUGAACAAGCCUCAACCAUGAGAAAAGGAAAGAACGAAGAACUAAAUCAUACACCAAACCACGGUAGUCAAAAGAAUGAUGCAACUAUGCAGGAGAAGCAGGGUAGUCCUAUACCAAAAUUCGGAAACAAACCAAAACUAAGAUCAAUAAGUAUUUUGAAAGUCACUUGCAAUUGGACAAAUAUAAAAGUGAACCAGAUCACAACAAAACCAAGGAAACACUGUCUAGGCUGCAAUACGGAAAGACCCUGGUUCAAACACAAUGAACAUUUUUAUUGGUUUUAUCCAUGUAAAAUAAAUGCCAUUCUCGUGUGGGAGUAUAGGACACCUCCAUCUUUUACCAAAACACGAGGGUAGGGUGUAGCCUACAUCUUUUCGGCAAAACACACUCAAGAAGUGCAAUACCAUGGUAACGUGCAACACAAGAACUAACAUCUCCUGAGUGCAUCCGUCAGAGCAUGACCCUCAUAGCCCCAACGGGUUCCUAGCCAACUGAUAAUGUGCCUAAGACAUUCAAAUGGCUAGGGAUUUUGUGAGUCAUUGACCACUUACAAGAGGUAUAUGUAAAAAGAGUGAUGACCAUGAAGAAAACAGAAGCUAGAGAUGAUGCCAGAUGAUCAUAUCUUAAUCAUACAAGGAUCAAGGUAUAAAAAUACUCUAAAAAUCCCACAACAUGCAAAUGCAUCAUGCAGUAAACCACCAAAGGCGAAGGGAGUAUGAUGCAGCCCUACAACAAUCCUUGACAGGAAUCCACAGUUGAAGUUACCAAACUAUAACUAGCAAAAAUAAUGGAAUCCAAACAAUAAAUAGACUAGUAUGUCCUCAACACCUAAGACGAAGCCUAUAGAAGAGAGAUAAUAAAAGAACCUAAACCUCCCAAACAAAUUGCAACUUAUUUAAGACAAUUGAAUUAAACAAAUAUCUCAGAAACGAUGCAUCCAACAACACAUACAUGGAAUAAUAAAAAAAAUAGAAGGAAUAACCAACAACCUUUUUUUUUUUUAUUAACAAUGUAUUCAGACAUGCAACAUGAUCUGCAAGCUAGACAACCAAAGCAUAAAAAAUAGAAGCACCAAACAAAUAGCCUAUGUGGUUAGAGAAAUAUGCAAUUUAAAUAACACAAGGCUAGAAACAAACUACAUCAUCCCAAAUGUGGGACACCACCAGACCUUUGCAAGUCCAGAAAAACCUUCAACUUAUCCUUUCUUACCCAUACUUGUUUAACACUAGGCGUGCACACCUUGAGAAUUGAAAAGAUAUGAGAUCUCCCCUUAACAAGCUUUGCAAUAGACUUGUCCUUAACUAAUUCCACCUUAGUCUUUGACUUCCUUUUGUUGGAGUAUCUGUUUUUCUUAAACCUAUGACAAUAAACAUUAGAAUUCCAAGGUCUAGAAAACGCACAAGAAGGAACAUAAGAAUCAACAAGAUUAUAAUUAUAAGGAACAUGAGAAUAACAUUUAACAUGUUGAUUAUAAUCCCAACAAAAGAUAUCCAAAUGACCAUCUCUACCACAAUAAGAACAAUGAAAAUUAUUAGAUUUUCUCAAACAAGUCUUAUAAGAAAAUGCAGUAGUGGUGGAUAAACCAUGUAUGUCACUAUUUGGUUUAUGACAUUGUCCCUUAAAACCCAUACCUCCCCUAUUAGAGCAAGAUGGCUUACCAGCAAAAGCAACCUUAUCAUUAGCCUUAGACUUAAACUUUGUGCGAGAAACAUGCUGAAAACUAUUAGUAUUAAGUCUAGUCUCAAUAGGCGGGGUAGGCAAAAGAGCAGGCAAACUAGAUUUUACAAAAGUAGUCACACUAGAUGAACUAGUAGAACUAGCAAUAGGAGAGUCAAAUCUAGUAUUGUCAAAAACCUGCAAUUGGAGUUGAGUAGACGUUAAAUCGUUCUUUGUUACCUCAUACUCCACCAAUAGAGAUUUGUAUUUCUCAUCGACCUCCUGAUUGGCCUUCUCUAAAGCUGCAAUUCUACAUAACAAGUCAAGUUUUUCUUUUUCAAAUAAUUGAGAAAUAGAAAUUGCACCAUCUGCAGCAGAAAGAAUUUGUUUUUCAAGAGUUUCGAUUUUAUCCUGCAAAGUAAGAUUAGCCUUAUCCAAUUUUUUAAUUUUGGAUUCAUAAACUUCCUCUUGAAGCAUAUAGUCUUCUGCACAAUGUCUGAGUCGUUGUUCUAGAGAAUCAACCUUAUUCUGCAAAACACCAUUAUCUUCAAAACAAAAAUUAUCAGAAAUAGUAGACAAAUUACAAUUAGCUUUAUUAAACUUUUCUUGCAAAUCAAUAUUAGCUUUUUGUAAUCUGUCACAUUCUUUUGCAGAAAGUCUGUAAAGAAGAGCCCAAUCACUAUUGCUAACAACAUACAAAUUAUCAUCAUUUUCAAAAUCAAAUUUUGGUUUUGUAGAUUUAGACGAUUUAGCAAUAAAAUUAUUAUAACCAGACUCAUGAACCAUUAUUGCACUCAUAGGAUCUACGCGUGAGCCAUUACGCCCCAUAACAAGCGCCCUGCGACUGAUACCAAUUGAGAACCCAAUAUAUGUGCAAUAUAACAAUAGUAAAGCAAACAAUAAAACAAUAAACAAAUAAAGAACACACGAUAUUUUUAACGUGGUAAAACCCAAUAUGGGAAACGUCCACGGUUGUCCUCGCGACAACAAAUAAAUCCACCAGAUGAAAAGAGAUGUACAAACCUAUCAACUACCUGCAAUCACUGCGAGUUGACACUACUGGUUAUCUCUAACACCUUGACUUCACCGGAGCAUCUUGAUGUACGCACAAGACACUCGACUUCUUGAUGAACACACAAGAAGACUCGAAGCCGAACUAUGAAACAAGCUUACACCAGAGUUCCUUAAUGAACACACAAGGAUACUCGACUUCUUGAUGAACACACAAGAAGACUCGAAGCUAAAUCAAUAUAAACAAUAAUGAAGAAGAAGAUGAAUGGGGAAGAAGGAAGAAGAAGAUGAAUGGGGAAGAAGAAGAUGAGUUCAAUCACCAAAGCAACCUAAACCAAAACCUAAACAAACUCCAAGACUAGAGAUGAAUUAGACGGCCAAAGAACUAACUUGUUCUUUGGAAGAGAAACCCUAUUUAUACUUAGGGUUGGAGAACACAAGAAUUGGGCCGAAAUAGGACGAAAUCCAUAUUGGACGUACGUACGUCGAAACGACGUUCGUACGUCUCCACACAAUAAACGCUUGCUGACUGCUUGGACGUACGUACGCCCUAACUCCGUACGUACGCUCAACACGAUGGAAAGUUUGCUGACAUGAGGGACGUACGUACGUCCUAACUAGGUACGUACGUCCUGAACCAAAAACACACUUUUGACACACUAGACGCGAAGACAAAGAGUCGGGAUGACGCGCGUACAACAAGGUUUUCCUAACAAUGAACUCAAGGCGAAAUAACCAUAGACAACCAAUAUCACAAAAUUGAUGUCAAACAACUUAGUGCCGGUUUCACCAAGUACUAGGUUACAGUCUUACAGAGCCAUCUGACAAGGCAACAAGGUUUGAUGAGCGACUGGAAAUAAUAUUCAGUAAUUCUUUGGACAAAUCAAUUGUAUAUAAGAGAUAUAACAGGAUUAAGGUGCUGGCAUGCUUUCAUUACACUUCCAAUGCAUUUAACGAAAAAAAUCAAUGUAAUAACAUUCAAUGAUACAAGUACAAUAGAUUACACAGUACUGACAGCAGAGCGAUAACUUUAUACUUCUUUUGUAAGUAGGGGAGUUUUAAUAGACUCAUCAGAAUAUGAUGCUUCUGAGGACGUGCUUCGAGGAUACCCUAUACCACAGCGAUUGUUAGGGAAUGUAACAAAGGCACUGCUAGCAAUAGCCCCAACAACCGGAGGUAACACCAUAAUUAACACCUUUUGUGUUGAACCGAAAGAUGGAUAGAAACACCUCACUGCGUUGGAAUCCAAGAGUGCAACUAUAGCAAACACAAUAAGCGAUAAAAGAGCAUGAACAAAGUCUCCUCUUCGAAGUUUAUAAGUGGAUAAGUCCACAGAACUUGAGUCUGGAUCUGAGAAAGCAUAAAGACCAUUCUUGGUCACAAUUCCAUGUUGGCAUUUCCCAUUUCUAUCAGUAUAACUAUCUGUGAACCAUGAAAAACAAGUCAUAAAGGCGCAAAGUCCAAGGAAAACUGCGGUAAUAUACUUGUUGCUGGUUUGACAUUCACCAUUGUUUGUUAAAAUGGGAUUAAGGAAUUGGUACAAGAAGUAAGUUCCACUUGGGAGAAACUUGACGAGGUUCCCUAGGCUUGUGAAAGUAUUCUGUGUGACAUCUUGAGUUGUUGUAGUAGACUUACCGCCUGAAACGAUUUGGGCCAUGAAGCUAGCUAGGUUUUUGAUAUACUACUGGGUGUAUGGGUUUUCUGUUCACAGAAUGAUCUUAUUACAUACUUCUCUGGGUUUUUUAUAGAGAAUCUUAAGAAAGAUAAUUACCUACUCUUCGUAUUUGAUUAAUAGGAAUUUCGUGUUGAACUAGUAGGUUAUUGGUGAUGAUGUCGUCCUCUUCGUAUGUGUAUGUAGUUGGAAGGUACAUUAGCGUGUGAGAUUGGAGAGGUCAAAGGAUUAUCUAAUGAUAAAAGGCCGCCCUAACGAGUUGACAUUAAGACUUCCAUAAUCAAAUCCAUAUGGAAUACAUAAGAUAGACCAUCUCCGGCCAUCUUUGGAAAAGUAAGCCAAAGUAGUUGAGAAUGGUUUGCACAUUCCUAGUCAGAUAGAUAAUUUUGAUUCUGUCCUUCCAUUUGAAACACCGUGCGAGUAUAGUUUUCACUUUUCAUUACUUGCAUGUUAAGACAAAGAUUAUGAUGGUCGAUAAUCUAAACAACACAAAGAUUCACUAAUUCACUUCUACUGUAAUCUGUGUUCUCCUUAAGCUAGUCAAGUAUGUCCUCUAAGAGUCUAAGGUAGACAUAUUGUCUGGCGCGCACAGCACCAUACUAAAUUAAUGACGCUGUAGUUGCUUACUAAUUAACAAGUUGUCGUAGCUUGGUAAUGGUCCUAGGAAAAUGUAAUUCUUGAUCGAUUUUCAGAAUUUAAAAUGUUCAAGCUAAAUGACUAAUCAGACUGUCAGAGGUCGAAGAAUCUAAAGCAAUCUGAAAACGGGGUAGGGACCUCUGUAACUUAACAACCUCGCUCACCAAUCUAAUUUUUUUAAAAGAAAAUAUACUUAUAUACAUGUACAAGAAAACAUAUCACAGCGGUGUUAAUGUAUAUUCAAAUCCAAACCACAUUAUACUUAAGAUCCAGUUCUUUAUGGUUAUUAGAAUCAUAUCCAAACACGUACAGAGUGAGUGCGACCAAGUCCUCUGUGAGGCUUAAAAAUGAUUAUUAAAUUUAUUUUUAGUCUCAUUAGAUAUAAGAUACACAUUUGAUCAACGUGCGAAAUUUGAGUUCCAGGAAUAAUUGAUGGAGUUUGAUUAGAAAAAGUUAUAAAUUGGAUUAUAUAUGUAUCUGACCUGUAAUAUGCAACUAGAAUUAUUUUGUUUGCUUUCUACAAAUGGUUGAAUAUUUCUUCUUUGUCUCUCCUAUUGACCUACUGUUGUUUUUCUCCCACUUGAAAAUUUUCCUACUCUUUUAUUCAAUAAUUUGACUAGCUUUUCAACUCGUCUGAGCAUUUCAUAAUACUAGCAUCAAGAUUUUCAUAUUGCAGUCACUAAAGAACCAUCGGACGGCCUUCAUCCAAUAGCAUUUUCAUAAGCCUGUUACAGUACUGACUUGUGUGACAUAAGAAAUUAGCAAGAAGAACCUACUAGUUAGGUCAUUCAUUCAAUGAGAUCAUCAAAUUCACUUCAUACACUUAAGUCCGUGUUAACACUCUCGUCACUGUCUAUAAAUACCCCCAAGUGUAAGUAACAUGAUCAUCAUAAGAAAACACUUACAAACAUAGCUAUAGCUCAAAAUCCCCUAUAGCAACUUCAUGGCCCAAAUUGCUCCAGAUGUUAAGACUGCUUCAGUAGAAGGGUCGACAACCACUCAACAAAAUACACAAAAGACCGUCACAGGCUUAGGAAAUCUUGUUAAGCUUCUCCCUAGUGGUACUUUCUUUCUUUUUGUAUUCCUCAAUCCUGCAUUAACCAACAAUGGCGAAUGCCGCACCAGUAACAAGUAUCUUACUGCUGUUUUCCUUGCACUUUGCGGCUUUGCUUCUUGUUUUUCUUGGUUCACAGACAGUUACAUUGAUAAAAAUGGAAAAGCUCAAUAUGGUAUUGUGACCAAGAAGGGGCUUUAUCCUUUAUCAGAUUCAGACACAAGUUCGGUGAACUUAUCUACAUAUAAGCUUUGUAAGGGGGACUUUGCUCAUGCAUUUCUGUCACUUAUUAUGUUCGCAAUAGUUGCACUCUUAGAUCCUAACACCAUGGAUUGCUUCUAUCCAUCAUUUGAAUCAACACAGAAACAAUUAAUUAUGGCACUACCUCCUAUUGUUGCAUCUGUCGCUAGUAGUGCAUUCGUUCUGUUCCCUAAUAAGCGCCAUGGGCUAGGAUUCCCUCCAAGAAAGGCAUCAGAGAAGUCAUAGAAUGGUUCAGUCCAGAUUCCUACUUGAAGAGCAUGUAUCUGAUAUGUUGUAAUUUCCCUAUACUAAAUAAUAUGUUUUGAAAAUAAACUAUUGUAUCUGUAAAUUGGUUUGAAUAAUAUUCUGAUUCUUAAUAUGAUAGUCGUACACAUUAUUCAUUCUUGACAUGGUUGUUGUACCAUUUUGAAAAUUAUUUCAUUAAUAAAGUAUUUAUAAACAAUCUCAACUUUAAGGCUGGUACCUGUAAUCAAAUUUUGAUUAUUAAUAAUAUCUUAUUUAUCAAAAUGAAAAAAAAAAAACUGAGUAGUCCCACGUCGAUAAAUAACAGUGUAAAUAAAUAAUGUUCUAGUACCCUGUAUUGUGGAGGCAUUUUUCCGUAGUAAGGUGAGCAUUCAAGGGAAAGGCAUCACCUUUGAGAUAAGAAAUAUUACAUAUCAUCAAUUCUUAUUCAUUAGGAUAAUGAAGAGUAUCGGUAAAUAAACAGUAUAGAAUGUUUUCAUUUUUCGACAGAUAGAACUUGAACAAUACCAAUAUCCAGCCGUGGCGUUGACUGAACCCAGUUUUCUUAAUAAACUGGUUGAGGUCUGCUGAAUUGUCUAUCUUCUUUCGAAACUCUUGAAAAGGGAAACACGAAAUGAGGUACAACGACAAGAAACAUGCCUGCUUUUAUUAAUCUAGUCACUCGAAUGGCAACAAAUUUUUUUAAAAAUCAACCCGAAGAAUUCUUGACUUUGUCAAGAGCACAUAACAAUAGUUGUUUUUGUCUUAUUUAGAGCCAAAGAUUGGGAUUUGGGAGUGUGUAAGAAUUGGUAUCAUGCAGAUAAUAAAAUUUGACCAUAUGAUAUCUGAGAACUAAAUAGUUACAUGCAACAUGAAAUCUAUAACAAGCAUUUCAAAAAUCAUAAAGUUUUAUUACAACUUCUCCGGAAAUUAAAACAUGUAGCAUUCAUGCUGUUCAACUGUUCAAGUAGGAAUCUACACAGAUGAACCUGCAGUCUUUGGCUCCUCUGAUGGUUGUCUUGGAGGAAAACCUAGCCCAUGACGCGAGUUCGGGAACAUAACAAAUGCACUGCUAGCAACAGCCCCGACAACAGGAGGUAACGACAUAAUCAAUUGUUUUUGAGUUGUUUUAAAAGACGGAUAGAAACAAUCUACUGUGUUAGGAUCCAAGAGUGCAACUAUUGCAAAUACAAUAAUUGACAGAGUAGCAUGAACAAAGUCCCCUAGACAAAGCUUAUAUCCCGAUAAGUUUGCGGAACUUGGGUCUGAAUCUGUUAUAGGAUAAAGCCCUUUCUUGGUCACAAUACCGUAUUGAACCUUUCCAUUUUUGUCAAUAUAACUGUCUGUGAACCAUGAAAAACAAGAUGCAAAACCGCAAAGUCCAAGGAAAAUACCAGAAAAGUACUUGUUACUGGCGCUACAUUCACCAUUGUUGGUUAAAGCAGGGUUGAGGAAUACGAAAAGGAAGAAAGUUCCACUAGGGAGAAGCUUAAUGAGGUUCCCUAAGCCUGUGACAGUCUGUGCAGUUACUUGUUGAGUGGUUGUCGGCCCUUCUACUGAAGGAAACUUAGCGUCUAGAGGAAUUUGAUCCAUGGAAGCUUAGCUAUAGGCUAUUGAUCUUGCUUUAAUUAUGUGUUUUUCUGGUUGCGAUAAGGUUUGUGUUACAUAAUUCCUGAGUAUAUAUAGACAAUAAAUAAAAAGAGAAAAAUAUUACGUACACAUUCUUGAGUCUCGAUUCCUGUAAUUUAAAGUUGAAUAACUGAACAAGUUGGUUCCUUCGGAUUUCUUUAUUCAUGCCAGUUGUUAAAUUUGAUACAAGUCAUUCUGGAGCAGGACCUUGAUGGCUCACCUACAAGUGCAGGGGUUUGCAACUUAUGGUGUCGAUAUAUAUGUACAUUGACCGUUCGAUGGCAGGUGUGAUGCAAAUUUUUUGAAGAGGGUUAUCCAAUGAUAAAGGUCUGAUGAUGAGCUGAGAAAGACGUGUCAUAGUAUAAUGCAUAAAAGAAUAACAUUAAGACUUUUUCGAUCCUAAAAGAAUGCAGAGCAAAUUAUUCUUUUGCAUAUCCCAGGUCAGAUAGAGAAUUCCAAAUUGUCAGUUGUUAAAAAUACAGUCAGAGAGCUUUUGAUUAAUCAGAAAUGUGGUAUAAUUGUGACUUGUAUGAUCCAUUAUUAACAAAUUAAGAUUCCUAAUGUAUGAAGAUGAGCAUUGAUCACAUGUUUGAUAUUUUAUAUCGAGGCCCCAGAAAUGGAUUUAACUAUAAGCCCCAUCUCGGACUUAGUCGUGCCCUGUCCAGUUUUUAAAUCAACGAUUAAUUUGCGAUUCAUCAUGGAUACACGUUGACACCCUGCAGUGAUUUCUCAUGUAGAUAAUUCAAUGAUUAUAUUAAUAUGAUCAGAGUAUGUACUGUGAAGUUACAUUAUACGGUAUGAAUAGCCAGUUACAAAAAUAAAACCCACGUCAGACCCAUUCAAAUUUACAACCCUUGGUUCAGUUUAUCUGUAUAUAUAACUAGUCCUUGACAAACUACAGAUUAUUUAGUGAAGGAAAAUCACAUUGUCGAUUACUUGCAUCUUGCAUCUGUCGCCUCUGCAUGAGUGCAUGACUUAUUAGAUAUGUUCUAAACAUACACUAGGAUUCCUGUGAGACAUGGCUUGAACUUGAAGCGUACCCUAUACCGUGGCGCUUGUUUGGGAACAUAACGAAAACAAAGCUAAAGAUAGUCCCAACUACAGGAGGUAACACCAUUAACAAUACUUUCUGUUCUGACCCAAAAGAUGGAUAGAAACACUUCACUGUGUUAGGAUCCAAGAGUGCAACCAUUGCAAAUACAAGCACUGAUAACAAAGCAUGAACAAAAUCCCCUAGUCGAAGUUUAUACCUUGAUGAGUUCACUGACUUUGUGCCUGAAUCUGAUAAAACAAAGAACCCUUUUUUUGUUACAAUCCCAUACUCAGUAACCCCUUCACUGUCAACAUAACUGUCUGUAAACCAUGAGAAACAACAAAAGAAUCCACAAACAAUGAUUAGAAUACCGCUAAGGUACCUGUUAACGGUGUUACAUUUACCAUUGUUGGUUAAGACAGGGUUUAGGAAUAUGAAUAGGAAGAAAGUCCCAGUAGGAAGAAGCUUGAUGAGGUCUCCAAGGCUUGUAAGUGUCUUGUGUGCCAUGAUUUGUUGAGUUGUUCGUCCUGGUAUUAACGAAGACUUGGUGCUUGUUGUACACAUAUCUUUUGCCUAAUUCUUGAUCUUCUAGACUUGUAUGUCUGUAUCUGUUUUAGUUCAUAGGGCCAUGUAUCUUUGGUUUUUUAUAGAACUUGCGCAAUAGGCUUCCAAAGAAUGAGGACCAUCAGCUUACUGCAAUCUGAUCAUGUAUUCCUAACCAUUCGAUGUACCGCCUAGGAGUUUAGUUUGGGAAAAGAGGGAACUACAUUGAUUGGUAUAUUUGAUGGAGAGGGAAAGAUACUGAACUUGCAAUGGAUAGAAGCACACAUGCUGGUAUGGUAAAAUUGAGUAACACAGCCGUAGGGGUACCUCCAUUUCUUAAAUUGGUUAAUGAUGAUAAUUUCAAGUUUCAUGGAUAACUGAAAGAAGUAAUAUAUUGACCUACUUUAAACUAGAAAUCAAGAAACAAUUGGGAGAAUCAAGACAAGUAACAACAAUGACAGAAGACGAAGCUCGCCAGCGGUUUCUCCGCAUUACAGCCGAUCAGUAACUGCGUUGAGUACAUGACUUCUAUAAAAUACUUAGUGGUAAAAUUAACCAGAUUACAGGCUACAGCAGCACUAUUAGCCUAACAAUGAACUGAUAUUGAACCAGGAAACAAAGAUUAGGCCAGUUAUACCGAAACCCUAAUCCUAAGUACCAUUGUAAACAUCAUUACUACAAAGAUAACGGAUUUUAUUUAUCAAAAAAAAAGAAAGAUAACAGAUCUAUCUAUAUACUAUAUAAUAGUGGAGCCUAACAAGUGCCACGUGGCGUGUUCUCAACAACUUGAGAAUAGAACUUAAGCCCAAUAUUAAGCCCAAUUGAAGCCCAGUUGUAGUUAAAAAGGAAAUCCACCUUUCAUGUAAAAGAGAGAUUUAUAGAAACCUUAAAACCUUUUAGAAUUUGAUUCUAAAUCUCUUUUUCCUACUAAAUUCUUUUUCUAUUUAAAAUCCUUAAUUCAUAUAUAAAAACCAUACUAAAUACAAAAAAUAUUAAUUAUAAAUCUCUACAAAUUUAGGUUAAGAAAGGUAUUAAAAAAAACUCGGUUCAACAAAUCACUUAUAAAGUCAUUAUAAAAUCUCUACAAAUUUAGGUUGAGAAGAGCAUUAAAAAAUGUUCGGUGAUUUUCCAUUUUAUUGAAUAACACAAAUCCCGGUGCGUAGCACGGGUUCAACAACUUGUUUUAGUUAAAAUAGUCCAGACUCCAGAAUGGUUUCAUGCAAAUCUAUAUACUAUAUAAUAAUGGAGCCUAACAAGUGCCACAUGGCGUGUUCUCAAUAACUUGAGAAUAGAACUUAAGCCCAACUUUAAGCCCAAUUAAAACCCAGUUGUAGACAUCAAGUGCCACAUGACACUUUUCUAGAGAUUUGCUUAAAUUUGGUGAGAGCCCAAAUUAAAAAAGAAAUCCACCUUCCAUGUCAACAGAUAUUUAUAGAAAUCUUAAAACCUUUUAGAAUUUAAUUCUAAAUCUCUUUUUCCUAUUAAAUUCUUCUUCUAUUUAAAAUUCUUAAUUCUUAUAUAAAAACCAUACUAAAUAUAAAAAUAUUAAUUAUAAAUCUCUACAAAUUUAGGUUAAGAAGGGCACUAAAAAAAACUCGAUUCAACAAAUCACUUAUAAGGUCAUUUAUAAAAUCUCUAAAAAUUUAGGUUGUGAAAGACAUUAAAAAAAGUUUGGUGAUUUUCUAUUUUAUUGAAUAAACACAAAUCCCGGUGCGUAGCACGGGUUCAACAACUUGUAGAGUACUAACACAGCGAUAGAAAAAUGUUGGGCCAUUUAAUCAAACUUGGCCCAUUAUAUUAACGGGCCUAAACUUUGCAAGAUGUGUUCAUGGUUUCAAGGAAUGAUAGCAAAACCAUCAUCUGACAUGACUAAUCUACACGCUUUGAAUCUUUGAUACAAGGUGCUGGAUGAAUCGGUUGUUUUCAUACCAACUGUCCGAGUGAUCUGCCCAGCACCUGGGUGUAAAAGGUGAACAAUAGUCAGAGAGUGAUAUGCCUAUUAUGUGGAUGUCACUCCGAUGUUUUUAUUGCAGUUCUUUUGGUUCUGAUGUGAUGACAAAACCAAGCUAGCUGCUAGCUUGGUAAGAGCAGAGAUUUGUUCUCUCCAAACUCAAGUCUCCAUUCUCAAACAUAAAAGGACACGGUCAAGACUGAAGAAUUUGAAACACUUAAAUCCAUGCCAUGUCUCAGUUCUAGUUCAGAUUUUCGCUUACAAGUUCAAAACUUUACAUUCAUGCCAUGUCCAAACUCAGUUUCACCAGCAAGUGGUUGUUCAGAAUCACGAGUACAGUAAAUGUCAAAGUUCAUUA